rnacentral:rRNA from 1 species
UACAGAGGUCUCAAGCGUUGUUCGGAUUCAUUGGGCGUAAAGGGUGCGUAGGCGGCGCGGUAAGUCGGGUGUGAAAUCUCGGGGCUUAACUCCGAAACUGCAUUCGAUACUGCCGUGCUUGAGGACUGGAGAGGAGACUGGAAUUUACGGUGUAGCGGUGAAAUGCGUAGAUAUCGUAAGGAAGACCAGUGGCGAAGGCAGCACUCUGGGACGUGACUGACGCUGAGACGCGAAAGCGUGGGGAGCGAACAGG